UAAUAUAAUAUAUAUAUAUAUUGCAAAAUGUUAAAGUGAUAAUUUAGUAAAAUAUUGAUAAUCUCAAAAUAUAUAGAAAAAAUUAUAUCAUAUAUUGUUGUAAGGAUUGUGCUAAGUUACCAAUUGGUAAUGACUCAUUUCAAGUUAAUUUUAUGUCAGACAUUGCAAUAUUGAUACCUAAAAAGUAUCAGUUUGCUUUGAUAUUUUACAUAUUGAAUGUUAUGUUAAAGAGUAAAUUGUCACAAGGUUAGGAAAAUGGUGUUAAUAUCAGAGAAAAACUUCAUAAACAAAUCCCAAGGAGUAAACUUUGGUUUUUUUAUAGGUUUGUAUUGUUGGUUUAGGUGUGGAAAACAGUGGCAACUUCUAGUACUUGUGGAAUCUUACUUGGAUAUUUCCUGUUAUAACACAUUUGCAAUUAUUUUUAUUUACAUUAUAUGUUAGGAUUAAUUCUUCCAUAAAAUGAUAUGGAUUGAUAAAGAAUUUUACAUCUGUUGUACUCAGAAAUAUAUAUUUUAAUGUCGGCUGUCAAACUUAGGACAGGUGCCUUUAUGAUUUUAAUCCUUGGACCCUGCAUUAGAAGCAAGAAAAUUGUUACAGUAACUUUAUAGACUUGCUUAGGUAGAUGUGAUGUAUCUCACGCAUGUUUGGAGCACCUGAACAUGAAUACUCUUCAGUAUUUUUAUGCCAGAUAUUCUGUGUGGUGGAGACAGCUUAUUUUUCUUCUAGCUGUGUUCAUUUUCAAUGAUUUUUAAUACUACUGUAUUACAUUAAGAUAUUCAAAUUAAUUAAUUGAAUUUGUUAAUGUAUCUGUUAAUACUGAGUUCUUGGGUAAUCUUGUUAAUUGAAAGUUUAAACAUUUCCUAAUAUUGUGUGAUAAGUGCUAGUGCUCUUGUUUUGCGUUUUUUGUUACUGGACAUACGAUUUUAUUACAUACAAUGUUCACUUCUUAAUAUUCGUUUAAUUAAUUUUAAUAGAAAUUUGCCAUAGCAAGCUGUUACAAUUAAUGAUAUGCAAUUUAAAGGCAUUAAAGGGAGGUGUUUUGCUGCCUGGCGGGAUGCUGAAUCAUCCUACUUGACAUAAUUCAAUGUCAGUAGUUUGACAUAAUUCAAUGUCAGUAAUUUAUAUAGGAGUACAGUACUUUACUCUGGUCUUUUUCUUUAUACUUAUGUUGAGCCCUUUUUUAUAAUGUGUUGGGCAAUUUCCUCAGGACUUUGGUCAUUUCAGUUUACUGAGUCUUCAAGUGAAUUUUGAGGAGUUUUGUCAUCAUUUUUUAAGUUAGGAAGUGUAAUAGAGUGAGUAUAUAUUGAAGGGUUUUGAGGUGUUGAAUGUCUAAUUUUUUAAACCAUGAAAAGGACAUAUAUGAAUAGAUUAUGGUAUGCACAGAAAAUCGAAUAUUUUUUUCCAAAUCUAAUUGUUCACAGAUUUAUUUUGUAUUUGUUAUUUUUGAGUGUAAUAGUAUGUUUUAAUCAGGUGAAAAAAAAUUUAUAUAGGAUAAUGUUAUGAGUGAGUCACAUCUACUUCAAGUGUAAUGCUUUUUAUUUAUUUGAAAUGUACUUUGGAACACGGUGUGUAUGCCCUAUAACUUUUUAAUCGGUAGCAUGUUUUUUUUACGUAUCUAGUGUUGUGUUAAAGUAGUUUAUGAUCAUAGAGUUUCAGGAAUUAGUUUUGAUUAAUUAGAUAUUAUUAGCAAGACAAAUUCUUUGAGGAGUAAAAUUAUAGGUAUGAUAUCUUGUGACCAGGUAAUGAAAGUCAUUUGAAAUUGGCAUUGAUUCAGUUGGAAUAUGUAUUGCCUUCUAUUUCUCAGCUACUCGGCUAAUGUGGGAAUGGACAUUGACACAAGUCACACACUGAAAAGGUAUCCAUCUGGGCGAGUGUGUGUGACUGAACUACCUUAAUUCAAGGAAAUUGUAGAUCAAGGUGGCUUGGAAAUAAAUUGUUAAAAUCUGGUUUUUUGAAUUAUGCAAAUGGGGAACAGUUCUUAUUUCUUAUAAGAUUUUUUUUAUUACUGGAUUAAUAGGUCCAAAAAGUGUGUAGAAAUCUGCUAAAUUAAGGGAAUAUUCAUUUGCUUAGUAAUGCUUGGCUGCCACAAAACCAAAGACUAAACUUGAAUUUAAUUAACUUGUGCCCACACACUUUUAAGACUAACAAGUAAUGAAAAAAGGAAUAUGAAAAUUAUAGGGCAUAAUAAGUUUACCAAAAAUAUUUUAAUGAAAGCUGUGUGAAUAUUUCAUAAAUGUAGAAUGGGAUAGGCUAUGGCUAGAUAAUAUUUGUAUACUCCAGAAUGGGGAUGGUGUAAAUCAUGAAGUGACUCAAUAAGAUUUCGUAAUGUGCUCAAGAAAUAAUUUAAAUGUUCUUCUGAAACUCGCAAGUAAAUGAUUAAUCCUCCUUGUAUUGUGGUUGGGACCUAGUUUUUCUGAAGAUUUUCAACCAUUCAAACUUAUGCCACAGGUAGGACUGUGAGGUAGUUUUCCGAUUUUCUCCAUAUGGUCCUUGUGCACUGGAGGAUGAGCAGACAAUGGUCAGUGCCAGAUGUUGUACCAGUAUGCAAUGGAAAUGGUUAUCUUGGUUGUCGUAAAGUAACACCUCAACUAAUCAGCAGCUACAGUAUGAUUCAUUUUAGGGUAUAUAUAUUUAUUAAGUUGAAUACUGUGUAAUUUUCAGGUUAAUUUAAGCUAACUAUGUUGCAUUACUGUUAGGUUUGGAUUUUCUUGGAAAUGAUCAUGUGUAGACUAUCCAAUCCUUUUUAAUUAUCAGAAGGCCAGACCUUCAAAAUGUGUCUCUAGUCUCAUUCCAUUUGAGAAAUAAUAGAAUGUUCUUUUACAAGCAAAGCCCUGGAAAAUGAUUACAGUGCAAAGUCCAUCUCAAGAAGAGGGGUCUGUGAAAAAGUGUUUUGUUUUCUCCAUCUCCAGAAGACUGUCAAAACUCGAUUUGCAAUGUCAUGAUAAACAGACUAAAUUUAUCUGAGGAAAAUUUAAUCAUCCAGUUGAAAUUCCAGGGUUUAAUUGAAAGUUUUAAGGAACCAAACAGUUUUAUCAAUUUACCAGGAAAAAUAUAAUAAUAGUAAUAAUUUGAAAAAUCGAACGGAAUAUAACUGACUUGCAUUUAUUAUAUAAUCCCCAGCCUUUCAUUGCUCCCUAAGGGUGCUGAAAAGUUAAGCUUUUGGACAGUUUAUUGUUACAGUUGCUCUUUGACUUACGAUUGGGUAAAAUUUUGAUGAACCUUGUAUUUGUUGAAAAUGGUUUUUUUUAUAUUACCUAUAAACAAUAAGAGCCAAAAAAUUUCUGUUGGUAAUGAAGUAUACUAAUUGAUUUUGGUAAUUUCAGAAUCAAGAACUCAGAUAUAUAAGUUCACAUUGUGAAAGACUGGUAUAUUAGUAAUUUCCACUGGUGGUGUUGGCCCUGAUUUUUCCAAUCAAGAGGUGCAGUUUACACAUUUUUAUCAAGUUACUCAAUGUUAUCUUAGUACUCUAUUUGCAGCAAGACACCUUGAUGUACAUAAAAGUACCCUUCACUCUGAGUUUGAUAACUACUGAAGGUGCAUUGGUACUGCACCGAUAUAAUGUGAAAAUACUGUGAAUCAUGCCCUUGUAAGUGAAGAGCAUCUGCAUUCAUUGAAUCUCUAAACUUUGGUUUACAAUAGCUGCUAAUUUAGUAAUACUAUACUUGUGAGGUCAUUGUAGAUGAGAUGUAAGUUGCUACAUCAAGAUAGGACUUCAUCUUGGAUAACAUUUUGAAUCCAAUCUGGCUCCCAAAAUGUCGUCUCCCACCUCUCCAAAUUGUAAUCUCUUGUUACCAAUCAUAAGGCUUUUUGUCAUGGGCAAAAUUUUCAUAGUUACACAACCUUUUAACUUGGAAUUCUUCCAAAAACCAUACAAGAUUAUGUCAUAUAAUGUUUCCAAAAAAACGAGCAGUGCUCAUUUUGCUUCCUGUAUCUGUUGAGAGUAUGAUAUAAAUCCAUACUUCAAAGCUUUUGUCAUACUAUUAUUGAAAUACUGAAUUAAUCACCAAUUGGGAUGUUAGCAGCCCCUCUGGGUCUUUAUCUUGAGUGGAUUCUGUCUGAAGUUGGGAUUCUCUCUUUCCCAACAAGAGUAGGCUUGAUUCAGUUGAGCACAAGAUAUCCUGUGUGGGUGACUUCUGUUAGCACCUCUUAGUGUCUUUACUGCUGCAAGAAUUAGUGCCUUACUGGCAUGAUUGGUAUGGUUGGCGGCGAGUUUGAUUAUUGGGCAUUCCACUGAGGGGUUAGAGAUGUGUAUUUCCGGUGAUAGAAGUUCACUCUUGAUGUGGUUCGGAAGUCACGUAAAGCCGUUGGUCUCGUUGCUGAAUAACCACUGGUUCCAUGCAAUGUAAAAACACCAUACAAACAAACAAAAACUGCAAGAAUUAGAGAUGUGCUGCUUGCUUUCUUUCUAUAAUGCAACAGUAUUCAUACACUUUGUCAAGCUGCUGUGUUUUUAUACUGCUCAGUACCGUAGGUCUUUUCCUUUGUGUAAAAUUUGAGUAAAUUCUUUGAGGUAAUAAAAUUUAAUGCAGUUGUUGGCAAGUUUAAUAGUUUAUUACCACUUCAAAUUUUUUGUAAAUUUGGUUCUUUGUAGUACAUAUUUAUCUGCUUGUUGACUUAUCUGCAUUACUUUUCUGUCUUCAAAUGUAAAGAAUGUAAAGAAUUCGUGUUCAAUUUUAAGUAAAGUAGAUUACAGUACUGUAGUUCAAUAAAAGUCAGGAAGAUUAUACUUUAAUCAUAGGAAAUAUUGGUGAACAGGACAAUGGAAUGGAAUGGAAUAUGAGGUAUAGGCUUGAAGCCAAGCAUGAACGAGACAGUGUGUAGUCACAGUAAAUUUCUGUGCAACCCCAAGCGAUGGUCUCUAUGAUGAAUUAUAAUUGAAAUGAUCUUUUAUUAAACAUUUGAGCAUAAUUCAACCCACUAGUCACAAUUUUCUUCACACUGACUGUACCAUUCAUACAUGCACACCCACAAAGUAAUAGCCAUAUACUGCUAGAAAGAAAUGCACUGUACAUUUUAAAGAAGGAUAUGAGAGAGCACUGUGUUGUGAAUUGUUUUUUCAUCGGCCAUCUAGUAAAUUAAGUAAAAUUUUCUUUGAAGGAAAUCUUUCAAAUAGGGUUAGUAGCCAUUAUAAGUUUUGCAGAAAUUAUUGCUUAAAAGUUUGUAACAGUUCACCUUAUCAGAACUUUUUGAUUGCACCAGGUCACAAGAUGUCAGCAUAUCUAACUUUAUAAUCUUAGAUAAAAUCAUUAAAACCAUUAAUUUCAUGGGUAAUCACGAUCUAAUUUGGCAGAUCUCAAUUAAGUAAUCCUUUUCAGGAUUGAUGUCUGAUUUGCAGAUUAACACAAGUAGUCUCAUCUUUUGGAUCAAAUUUUAAUCUACAGAUCACACUUGGAAGCGUUCUUCUUCUUACAUUAGGUGUGUAAUUUGCAGAUUAGUUGUGUCCUUUUGAGGAUCUAUGGCUAAUUUUGCAGAUUAUGUGUAUACAGCAAUUUUGGGAAUUAAGGGUUUUAAACAUGAAUAUAGAGAGCUCCAGUUUAUGUCCUGAGGAAAGGAGGGUAUACAGAGGUAGAUGAUUAAUUCUUUGAAAAAACAAAGACGCUAACCAGAAAAUCUUUUGUAGCAAAUAUGGGUCCUUGAUGUGAAUAAUUCACGAUUCAUGGCACGGGUACAAGUGUGUGUAAUCAAAAUCCAUAGGAAAAAAAAAUCUGACAGACUUCUAUAUUUUCCAUAUUUUGAUACUGUAAAUUUAGGGACUCAUUAAUUGGUUAGUAAUGGAAUAGGUACAGAGAAUGUAUUAAAAUUUAUUUUAGCAAAUUAUAGAAACUGUAAACGAGCAGUUGUCACUGUUUUCCACAGGGAUUGAUUUAUUCGUGUUUUAUCCAUAGUGUAUUGAAUAUAUCGUAUGUUACACAUCCUAGUUUCAUACAGGUUGGAGCAAUUGGAAUCUUGCUCGAGAAUGUAAAAAUUUUAACAUUUACUUUUCCUUAUUUUGUGAUAAGAAUCAUGCAAGCAUCCUGCCAUUGUCAUUUUAUCAUGCCAUGGAUCAUUUAUCACUUCAUUAUCAACAUUCAUUAUCCACUUUUCCUCAUCUUCAUUUGUAUGGAUAAGAAUUACAGCAUUGGUAUUCUGAUAAAUCUCUGUAUUUGAUUAGCUUACAUAUCUGGCACUUUUGCAUUUCUUGGUAUUUGUAAUGGAUGAUAUAUAUUUGAUUUACUGUAGUAUAUUUUAAAUCAACAAAUACCCUAAACUUUUUUAGAAAAUGAAUUCUGGUAAUUUUCAAGUGAUAUUUUUUUUUUUUUUUUUUUUUUUUUUUUUUUUUUUUUUUUUUUUUUUUUUGCAGGAUCCAUGCAUAUAUUUCAGUGCUGAAUUUGUUAGGCUUUCCUUGAUUUCUGCAAAAUAUUAAAUGUAGAAAAGGGUUGUAUAAGCAUUUAAGAAAAAAAAGAAAAUGUCUGAUGUGGCAUACUGUAUGUAGUUUAAAAUCCAAAGCUUGUAUAUUCCUCUGUUCUGUGAGGUAAUCAAGAAAUAUCAUAUAAAGCAUUUGGGUGGAUAAGCUAUGAAUGUUUUUAAGUACUAGUUGAAAAUCUUAUUACUUAGGACUGAGGAGUUUCAUCACAAAACUUUGGGCAGGGGGUGAACUAGAAUAUGAGGCUGUAGGUUUCAGUGUGUUAACAAUUAAUGAGGAUAUGGUUAAGGUGUAGAUAUAGAUAUGCUUGCUUAACCUGUAUAUUGAUAGAAAUCUUACAAAUAGUCACAAUUACACAACUAGCCCCACUCAGUGUUAGAUUUUGUAGAUGUGAGGAAAUGUAUUUCUGUUUGGAUCUUUAUGUAUUUGUUUUCAUAAUGUUCAAAACAAUAAGUUCAUGAUGUAACAAUUAAAAUUAAUAUAGACAUUGAGUUAUUGUGAAUUUAUAAGGACCACAUCUGUUGCAACCAUAUUUCAGCAGCUAUAGAAGUCAAAUAAAUUAUUCUAGUCAUAUAUAUUGUUAACAUAGGUAGAUCCUAUGGAACAUAACUUCAUUUAUAUCAGGGUGUCAUUUGUUAGAUAUUCACACAAUAUUGUAAGCCUAUAUCACGGAAGACCUUUCUUUUAGAUUGGGCAGUGGCAAAGAAUCUAUUUUGGGUUAGCUAGAGUUUUAUAGAAUUCAUAUUCUAUAAAUUUUAUUGUAAAAAUUUGAUUCCACUCAUAUUCUCGCUUAUGAAUAAUUAGUUUUUAAAAUGUGAAGAUUAAAGAUAUUUUAUAGUAUGAGAAUGCUAAAUUCCAAAACAGCUGUUAUGUAAGUUAAAAUCAUUAGUGGAUAGAGCAUGAUCAUGUAAACUUUUAAAUAAUUAUGAACAAGACAUAAUACAUACCUUUAUAAAUGAAAAUCAUUAUUGAAUGAGUUAAAACCGGUUUGGAAAUUCCAACAGGUAUAAAGAGGUACACUUUAUACUAUUUUCAUAUGGUUUGAAUUCAGGUAAUAAGGUAGUCCCUGUUUAUCAGUGUGGGUUCCAUUCCCAGCUGACCGCUGAUAACCAAAAGUCAUCGAUAACCGGAACAUCACAGUAAUUAUGGUAAUAAAUGGCAUUUAUGAUGUUGAUAAAAUUGAUUGUCGGCAACGAAAAUCGCUUACAGACGCCAAUAAACCACCUACUGACGCUGAUAAACUGCUUACUGGUGCCGAAAAUCGCUUACGCCACCAAAAAUGUGGUUAACGACAUUGUUAGCCAAGUGUCUUAAAACUGAAACUCCAUUAACCAAUGAUGCUGAUAAGUGGCGACUGCCUGUAUUCAUUAUUACAUGAUGCAUGGAAAACGUGCAACUUUGUUGUGUAUGCUCAAUGUUUUCAGUCAUUGAAAUAAAAAAAAAUUUCUUUUGGGUAAAGCAUAGUAUUGUUUUUGUUAGAUUUAUUUCCUAUGAUAACCUGAAAAAGGUUAAGUUUGAUGCUAUGUAAACUUGAAUACAAUAUAUUGAAAUUGCACAUGAAUAAUACAGUGGGUGUUAUUGGAAAAGGAAAUUGUGUUUUGAUGUUUGUAUCAUAAUUUCUUUUCUAUUAGCAAAAUUUUGUGGAAAUAAAUGGGAAAAACUGUAAUGUUCAUUCUAAAAUGUAUUUCAGAAAGUGUUAGUUGCUUAUCAGUCUAACUUACAGUGUUCAUAAAAGUUCCAAUGUAAAUGCAAUAUAAAACAAAUACAACAUACACAGAAAUAUUGAGAAAAUCAUCUAAAUAAAAAAUACAGUUUUUAAAUGAAAGAAGGGACUUCAAUUUCAAAUAAGCAGGCAAGAGUUUUUUUUAUGUUCAAUCAAAAUGAUUAAUUCAUGGAAAUGGUUUUUUUAUUUUUUUUAUUGUAACAGAAGAAACUACUGUCAGGUAAUGAUAUUGCAGAUAGGUCAGAAUAAUCUUUGAAAACUUUAAAGAAAUCUAUACAAGAGAUGAAUAUUUAAUAUUAUUUUUGAAAUGUGUUUUUGAGUGUGGGACCCAUUCAGUGCCAGUAGAUGAUUAAAUUUUUAUCCUAUUAAUAUGUUAAGAAGUAAAAGCAAGUUAUUGUCCAUGUUAAGGAUUUUGUAAAAUAAAAUCAAACUUUGCAACCCACUCUCUUUUCUAUAAUUUAUAGAUAAAAUUUUGUAAAAGUAUGUGGAAAUCAGUAAUAAUCAUUGCAAAGCUGCAGAAAUAUGGAAAUAAUGCUGGAAAGAAAGAUUAAAAACAAUACGGGUGUGUUUGCUGCGUUUUACAUUCAGUUAGCACUGGCCAUUGAAAACACUUGACUUUCAACGACUACAUAGAGUACAAAAUUUUUUCUUUUACUGCUAGCUUGUGGAAAAUGCAAUAAUUUAUCACAGUAUCCUAUGUUUUAAACAGUUUUUUUUUCAGUGAUAGUAAUAAUAAUACAUACUAGUAAUCACAAUCAUAUCAUUGUCAUCUGACUCAUUUCACCUUUGUAAUUGUCAUCUUCGUAAUUCAUUGAAUGCCAUCUCCAUACUCAUAGUCGUAACUCAUAGCAUUCAUUAUAGCAAGAUAUCUGUACUGCUGUUAUCAUUAUCAUGUCCCAGUCAUUAGCAGCCCAUUUUCAUCUCAUUGUCAUUUUUACUCAAGAAUGUUCAUUGUGGUUGAAUCAUUGCUUGUCCAAGAAAUUAUCCCCUUGAUUCAAGGGGAUGAAGACAUCAUUCCCCAUAUUAGUCUGAGAACAAUUGCUGUUCAUAUUUAAGUGUUCAUUGGCUCAGCACCUGAUGUAGGGAAAGUACUGAAAUGGCCAACAACUGGAGGUACUGUAUAAAACUGUAUAUUGUUGUGACUAUGCAGGUGUAAAGGAAAAGUGCCAUGUUUGCAAAAACAUUAUGCAGAAAGUGACUGCUGAUAGACUGACAGUUGCAGUAAUUGGUAGUCUUAGACCUCAGACUUCAUGGCUAUCAUACUCGUCCAAGUGGUGAAGAUAUUACAACAGAGCAUAUGUAAUUUUGAACCAUUUGUGCUUGUAGCCUCCAGUUGAAUAGCAAAGGUUAUACUAGUUAAUGUUAUCAGUUUAUUAUGGUGAGCUCUGAUCUGUGCGCGAGUGGUAGCUCAUAUAAUUUUUUUUUCUUUCUUCUUGUUCACUCACCCAGGUAGACAUCAUAUUCAAUUGGCAGUAUGAUUAAUUUAGAAACAACCGGUGAAACUUGAAGCUCAUUUUGGACCACAAGUAUGUGUUGCUGAAAAUGUUAAUUAGUAAACUUUUGCUGUGUUUUCCAGAGAGCAUAAUUCAUAUGACAUAUAUUGUCUGUGCAUCUUCAUGGUAACUCAAAAUUUUGUAAAUUCAUAUUUAGAUUUUAUAAAAAAUAUAUCCAGAACUUUAGAUAGUUAUUGCAUAACUAAUUUGAAAGUUUGUUAGAUUUUUUCAAUGUUAAUUUUAAAUAACAACAUAUGUACUGAGUUCUGAAUGCAGCAAUCUCUGGUAUGGUUAUCAGUUGUUAGCAGAAAAGGACAAUAUAUUAAUGUGGAUUGAAUAAUUCUACUACAGUGUGAGAAAACCUUUCAGCUCUAGAACAUUUUAGUGCUACCCUAACAUUUAUCUGUUGUAUAUAUAUAUUUAUUUUCUAUUUUCAUUGGGGACAUGCUAUCUCAAAUGAAAUUAUUCAUGUUGAA